rnacentral:rRNA from 1 species
CCUACGGGUGGCAGCAGUGGGGAAUAUUGGGCAAUGGGCGCAAGCCUGACGCAGCAAUGCCGCGUGAAGGAAGAAGGUUUUCGGGUUGUAAACUUCUUUGAUUGGGGAAGAGCAGAACACUGUACCCUGAAUACAAGCCACGUCUAACUACGCGCCAGCAGCCGCGGUAAUACGGAGGUGGCAAGCGUUUUGCGGAUUUACUGGGUGUAAAGGGCGUGUAGCCGGGAAGGCAAGUCAGAUGUGAAAUCCGGAGGCUCAACCUCAGAAUUGCAUUUGAAACUGUUUUUCUUGAGUACGGGAGAGGCAGACGGAAUUCCUUGUGUAGCGGUGAAAUGCGUAGAUAUAAAGAGGAAUACUAGUGGCGAAGGCGGUCUGCUAGGAUAUAACUGACGCUGAGGCUCGAAAGCGUGGGGAGCAAACAGGAUUAGAUACCCUAGUAGUC